CCAGUGGUGGCGCCGGGCCGCCCCACCCAUCCCAGGUCCUUAUUUAAGGUCGGUCCCCUCCUGUCCCCGUUGCGUCCCCGAUGUCCCCGAUGUCCCCAGCCAUGGCUGCUCCUCGGCUGCCAUCGGCCCUGGGGGUCUCGUUGCUGCUGCUGUGUGGGCAGAUGGCAGGCGCUGCCUCCGACUGCGACUCGGGAUCCCAUCUGAGCCCGCUGAUGGCCGGGGUGGAUCCCUGCAAGGAACCCACUGGAUUCCUCAGCCCCCAAACUGGGGGGGACGCAGACAGGCUCCCCUCCACUUCUCCAGGCGCUGCUUCCGACUGCGACUCGGGAUCCCAUCUGAGCCCGCUGAUGGCCGGGGUGGAUCCCUGCAAGGAACCCACUGGAUUCCUCAGCCCCCAAACUGGGGGGGACGCAGCGGGGUCCUCCGGAGGGGGAGGGGGAUCCUAUAGUGGACCGGGAUCCUAUGGGAGCAGCUCGGGAUCCUACAGCGGACCGGGAUCCUAUGGCGGAUUGGGAUCCCAUGGCGGUGGAUCGGGAUCCUAUGGGAGCAGUUCGGGAUCCUAUGGGGGCAGACCCAUCCCAUGGCGGUGGAUCGGGAUCCUACGGGAGCAGCUCGGGAUCCUAUGGGGGCAGACCGGGAUCCCAAAGUGGAUCGGGAUCCCAUGGCGGUGGAUCGGGAUCCUACAGUGACUCCGGAUCCUAUGGGAGCAGCUCAGGAUCCUAUGGGGGCAGACCAGGAUCCCAGGGGGUAUCGGGAUCCUAUGGAGGCAGACCGGGAUCCCAAGGUGGAUCGGGAUCCCAUGGCGGUGGAUCGGGAUCCUACAGUGACUCCGGAUCCUAUGGGAGCAGCUCAGGAUCCUAUGGGGGCGGAUCAGGAUCCUAUGGGGGUGGAUCGGGGGCAUCGCCAGGACGAGGAAGUGGAUCUGGGUCCUAUGUGUCACCGGAAUCCAGUGGAGGUAAACCAGGAUCCUACGGAAGCCGACCGGGAUCCCAAGGGGACGGAUCAGGAUCUUUCGUCUCGCCGGAAUCUGCUCCGGAUCCGGGACCUACGAAUCGGGAUCCAGCAGUGGAUCGGGGCAGGAAUCGGGCUGUGGGGGAUGUGACAAAUAGGGGAAUGGCGCUGUCACCCUCCCCGCGGUCCCAAUAAAGCCCUUGCGGCGUGGCACCAUCCUUGUCCCUGUCCCCGUGGACACACGUGUCCCGAUAUGGGGACACACGUGUCACCGAAUUCGUCCCCGUGGCCACACGUGUCACCAAACUUGUCCCCAUGGCCCCACGUGGCCACACGUGUCACCAAACUUGUCCCCGUGGCCCCACGUGUCACAGCACCGGAUGAGCUGGUCGGGCUGGUCUGCACCCACG
rnacentral:lncRNA from 1 species